UAUGAGCUGUUUUAGCGGCGGACGGGUGAGUAACGCGUGAGCAACCUUUCCCAGACAGGGGAAUAACACACCGAAAGGUGUACUAAUACCGCAUAAGACCACGGUUUCACAUGGAACUGAGGUAAAAGAUUUAUCGGUUUGGGGUGGGCUCGCGUCCGAUUAGGUAGUUGGUGAGGUAACGGCCCACCAAGCCGACGAUCGGUAGCCGACCUGAGAGGGUGAUCGGCCACAUUGGGACUGAGACACGGCCCAAACUCCUACGGGAGGCAGCAGUGGGGAAUAUUGGGCAAUGGGGGGAACCCUGACCCAGCAACGCCGCGUGGAGGAAGAAGGUUUUCGGAUCGUAAACUCCUGUCCUUGGAGACGAGUAGAAGACGGUAUCCAAGGAGGAAGCCCCGGCUAACUACGUGCCAGCAGCCGCGGUAAUACGUAGGGGGCAAGCGUUGUCCGGAAUAAUUGGGCGUAAAGGGCGCGUAGGCGGCUCGGUAAGUCUGGAGUGAAAGUCCUGCUUUUAAGGUGGGAAUUGCUUUGGAUACUGUCGGGCUUGAGUGCAGGAGAGGUUAGUGGAAUUCCCAGUGUAGCGGUGAAAUGCGUAGAGAUUGGGAGGAACACCAGUGGCGAAGGCGACUAACUGGACUGUAACUGACGCUGAGGCGCGAAAGUGUGGGGAGCAAACAGGAUUAGAUACCCUGGUAGUCCACACUGUAAACGAUGAAUGCUAGGUGUAGGGGGUAUCGACCCCUUCUGUGCCGCAGUCAACACAAUAAGCAUUCCGCCUGGGGAGUACGGCCGCA
rnacentral:rRNA from 1 species